rnacentral:lncRNA from 1 species
CUGGUGAUUAUUCUGGUGGCGACUCCCAUCUCCGAGCUAGUCUCAGUGACUAGUUAGCAUGUUCUCGAUUAGGUUGAAAAGUCUUACAGUGUUGUAGUCACUAAAGACACUUAGGUGCACGCUCGAAACCACAACCCAUCCAAGUGCCUGGUCUAUAAUAUUUAUAGAGAUUUCUUUUGCAAAGUCCUCCUCUAAAUACAAAACCUUUAAGAGUUAUCUUCUAGUAACUCUUAAUUAUCCUAAAUGAA